GACGGACAGACGGACGGAGCUCACCAGAAAGUCCAGGGACACCGUCCGGCACAGCAGCAAGCUGCAGCAAACAACCCGGAAAGAGGCGAGAUGCUGAGCGGGAGGGCCGAGCGGCCUCAGUGGCAGACUGGACAUGAGACACUUACUGGGCACCGCCCGUGGGGCCCGCACAGCCCCAGCUGCCGGGGUGAGCGGUGAAGACAGCAGAACAUCGCUGCCAUUAGGGACCUGCACUCCAGGGGAGAGAGCCAGCCAGCAGACGGACGGACGGCAAG